rnacentral:lncRNA from 1 species
ACAGUUAGACUCUUUCAUCUACUUUUAUCUAUAGAUUGAUUAUUGACUGACUUACAAGCAGAGUCUUCUAACUUUCCAGGAAAUACAAAGUAGUCACCAUCAACUCUGAUUCUCUAAGAUUUGGCCCGCCUUUGGGGUAAUUGAUUUAUUCUGAGAGGAAGUGAAAUCUCUGUCAGAUAGAACAGUAGAAUGACUCCUCUGAGAACAAAGUAAUUGCUGACUUCAAAGAGCUCCAAGGAAGUUCAGUGGAUGGAAAGAAUUUGGCCAGCAACUGGACUGCAAGUUUACUGAGGACAGUGAUUCCCACUAUUCAGUUUCUCUCUAGCACUGGAGCAAGCCUGGCACAAGGAAGCGUCCUCAAAACACAGAGAAGAACUCUGAAAACCAUGAAGUUGGGUGUUAUCAUUUGUAUUCAAGGUAUUUUUUAAUUAAUAACAUUAAAAAUGAUUUUGAAUACUGAAAAGUCAGAACAAAAAAAAAAUCACUUGAUGCUGCUUUGUAAAAGCUUGGAAAAUCAGUAAGGAAAGCAAAAGGCUCACCCACCUACUUCGUAAGGUUCUUUUUUUAUACCAGAAGCAAAUGUCACCAUGCGAAUUCAUGUCCUUAGGAAGAAUAGACUAGCCAUGGGUGCCUAAUAAAAGGUGUGCUUUGAAUCGCUGUUUUAAAUCC